rnacentral:lncRNA from 1 species
AGAGCCAUGUGCCGACUUCAGGCGCUAGCGGCGGGUGACACAGGUCUGGCCAAGUGUUAGAGCAAGAUCAUACGUCCGGGCCCCAUUUUAAUUUCUAAUACAUUAAUCUUUUCCUCACAGAUCCUCCAUGAAUAUUCCAAGGCUCCUUGUUUGUCAGGAAGGCUGUCUCGCUUUCAUCUAUUCAGCCUUCUGAUAGACAACCCUGACACCUGCUCCCUGGGGACACCCUUCGCCAAGUCAGUGCACUGUUCCUUGAGAGACCUCCCUUACUUUAUCAGCCCAAAAAGGAUUGUCACAGGUGACUAUAUCUGCUGAGGUAUGGAGCUGCUAUCCCUGACCUGCCCCGGAACUGUGCGGUCGAGGCUCCACGCACGCAGCACAAGCGGAUUAAGGUGGCUUAAGCGCUGUCAUACAGGCAGAUUCGGU